AUUUAAAAAUGAAGCAGGCAGGAUUUUUUUAUUUUAUUUCUGCAUCUCACUGUUCUGAUAUUUUAUUGCAUUUAAGAGUGUUGCUGAACAGGACUAAACACUCAGUAUUGUCAUUUAUGAUUUUUUUAGAAGUCGUACUUCCCUGAUGAUGAGGUUGAGCUUUAAUCGUUUCCUACAUGGUCACUUUUUCUCCUGCCUACUCAUCAGUUUAUACCAGAAAAGGUUUUGGAAGUGUUUUAAGGUGAUGAAGUAAUUUCUACUGAAGUAUGAAAUGUGGAAUUCAGUGCCUCCUUAGGGCUUCUCAGUAUGAAUUUCCAGCUUUCUUCUGUGCAUAUUCAGAUUACUUUUAAGUUGGAAUGCUCCAUUGAAAUCUAAUCUGUAAAAUUUCAGACAGAAAACUAGUUCUUAAACGUAUAAAUGCUCUGGGUUGUAUUUGCUUUUAGAGAAUGGUCAGGCAGGGAAGCGUGAAAUGAGAGGGAGAAGUCAUCAGGCUGGGACUCGAACCUGUGACGGCCGCAACAACUCGGCGCCCAUUUUGGGUUGUAUUUAAAUGUGUUAUUAACCAAUAAAUGUCUUUAUUCUGUAGUCAUAUAUUACAUAGCGUCUCAUUGGAAACUGGAGUCCACAGAUUUACUUCAGCAGCUCUGUGGUCAGACUGUUCAAACGAUGAUUCACACUGUGGGAGUGACGCGCUGCGCUUACUCUACAAUUACAAAAGCUCUGGUUUUACGUCGCAAGAUGUAUUGAAUGAAAAUGUAAACCUUCACCUCAGCUCACCUGAGCAAUCUUUGCUUUAGCCGCAUGCAGACAGUGAAGAAGCUGAGGGGUGACUCCUUUGGUGUGACUUAGAUUUUUAUUUUUUUGCAUUUAUGAAAAUUAAAUGAAAUCACCCAAAGUUCA